rnacentral:rRNA from 1 species
AUGAAAGACGGUUUCGGCUGUCACUUACAGAUGGACCCGCGGCGCAUUAGCUAGUUGGUGAGGUAACGGCUCACCAAGGCGACGAUGCGUAGCCGACCUGAGAGGGUGAUCGGCCACACUGGGACUGAGACACGGCCCAGACUCCUACGGGAGGCAGCAGUAGGGAAUCUUCCGCAAUGGACGAAAGUCUGACGGAGCGACGCCGCGUGAGUGAUGAAGGUUUUCGGAUCGUAAAGCUCUGUUGUUAGGGAAGAACAAGUGCAAGAGUAACUGCUUGCACCUUGACGGUACCUAACCAGAAAGCCACGGCUAACUACGUGCCAGCAGCCGCGGUAAUACGUAGGUGGCAAGCGUUGUCCGGAAUUAUUGGGCGUAAAGGGCUCGCAGGCGGUUUCUUAAGUCUGAUGUGAAAGCCCCCGGCUCAACCGGGGAGGGUCAUUGGAAACUGGGAAACUUGAGUGCAGAAGAGGAGAGUGGAAUUUCCACGUGUAGCGGUGAAAUGCGUAGAGAUGUGGAGGNANACNACCAGUGGCGAAGGCGACUCUCUGGUCUGUAACUGACGCUGUAGGAGCGAAAGCGUGGGGAGNGAANAGAAAUUAAAUACCCUGGUAGUCCACGCCGUAAACGAUGAGUGCUAAGAUGUUAGGGGGUUUCCGCCCCUUAGUNGCUGCAGCUAACGCAUUAAGCACUCCGCCNUGGGGANGUACGGUCGCAAGNACUNGAAACUCAAAGGAAUUGACGGGGGCCCGCACAAGCGGUGGGGCAUGUGGUUUAAUUCGAAGCAACGCGAAGAACCUUACCAGGUCUUGACAUCCUCUGACAACCCUAGAGAUAGGGCUUUCCCUUCGGGGACAGAGUGACAGGUGGUGCAUGGUUGUCGUCAGCUCGUGUCGUGAGAUGUUGGGUUAAGUCCCGCAACGAGCGCAACCCUUGAUCUUAGUUGCCAGCAUUUAGUUGGGCACUCUAAGGUGACUGCCGGUGACAAACCGGAGGAAGGUGGGGAUGACGUCAAAUCAUCAUGCCCCUUAUGACCCGGGCUACACACGUGCUACAAUGGACAGAACAA